AUUUUGAACAAUAAGCAUCAUUAAUAUAAAUAUUUUGAGUAAAAUGAGAGAAGUAAACUAUAAAUAUAGGGUCACUUAUGUUUGGUUAUCUUUGGAUAUCCAUUCGGGCUCGGAUAUUACUCGUUUGGAUUUAGAUUUUACCCGAACUGGUGAAAUAAGUAAUUUGUUUUGUUGUUCUAGAAUUAGAUGAUUUUUAGACCGAGCUGAUGAAUAUAUACUAGACAUGCGUUUAUAUUUCGAGUCUGCACGUAUAUUUUAUAAUAGCUUGAUAUAUUAGAUUUGAACACAGUUUGCCGGUGAUUUUUUUUUUCAAAAUUUUGAUUUUUAGAUAGGCAUCUGGAAUGAAAGUAAUUUUUACAUAUGUCCAUUUUUUAAAUUGACACUUAUGUAAUUCACUGAAUUUAUAGAAUAAGUUAAAAAAAAGAAACUUAACUCAUAUCAGUGAAACAAAGACCAGAACGAAAGCACAAUUUUAUAGAGGUAGAAAAUGAAAUCACUUAUAGAGAGUCAAUAGUAAACAAAUUGGAAGAAGAAACCCUUAUCCUCUUUCGUCAUUAUACAAUCGAUGUUGCUUAUUUGGUUCUGGUGAUUUGUGUCGGCCGCAAAAACUUAAUUUCCUUUUGUGCAUAUGAAAUCUUAAAAAUAAUUAAAAUAAGAUGUAAUACAUCCACUCUUCAACAAGGAUGAUAUAUUCAAGAGACCAACUUUUAUAUUGAUCAUUUUAUAAUCGCUAAAGAUUGUGGUGUUACAAAAUGUUAAAACUAUUUAAUAAACAAACAUUAUUAUAAAAAUUCACUCCGUAUAUGCGUGCGGGUUAUCAUCUAGUUUACUUAUAUUUAGGCUGUAAGUUGUAACUGGUUUACAUGUUUAAGAAUUGAUGGAAUUAAAAUUAAUGGAAUAAUAUGAAUGGAAAGCAGAGAAAAAAACGGAAUAGAUCCAUUCCAUUCAUUUCAUUCUAUUGAAGACAAAUGCUGAAUUAUUUUUAGGAAUUGAUAGAAUACGUUUUCAUAUUAUUUUAUUAUAAAUAUUGAUAAUCCAGUUGCACCUUAAUGGAAAGAAUAGGUGUAUAUUCUAUUUACUUUUAAUCGAUUAAAACACAAAACAUUUUUCUAAUUAAUUUUUUUUGUAAGAUUGUAAAUUAAAAUACCUCUCUUUUAUAAAGUAAUUAGAUGUUUUGCUCGCACAUGUGGACAUAAUUUUCUUACGAAUAUUUAAUUAUAUUAUGUAAUAUUAAAUAAAAAAACAGCAUGAUAAGUUAUUAUUUAUUUUUCGAAAAUUUUAAAUCAAACAUCAGAUUAUUUAUAUAUGAUAAUGUUUUUUAUUAAAAUGUAUAUCCUUAUUAUUGUGUUGAAAUUUUUUAAACACUCACAUAUUAGAAAUUGUUUGGGAAAUAUCUUUAUACAAAUUUUUUAUAGUUUAUAUAACUAUAAGUUGUUUUAUAUCUUAAAUUUUAAGUUUUCCAACAGAAAAAUAGAAUUUCAAUAUAAAAACACAAUGUAUAUAAGAAUUAUCAUAUUUUCAAAAAUCUAAAUCUACUAAUAUAAAAUAAUUUUUAUAUAUAAUAAAUUAUAUAUAAAAUCAUUAAGGGUAACAACAACAUUAGACACUCUAACUUUUAAAGUGAGAGUUCCAUUGAUAAAAAUCACUACACAAAUAAUAGUAUAGAUUAUGGAAACAAUAUUAUACUACUAUCUAUAUUUCCAAAAAAAAAAUUAAUCUUGUAUCCAAACAAUAUAAAAUAUUAGAUUUUAUCCUUUUUCAACUUUUUCAAAUUAUUUGAUAAAUCAAAUGAUUGACUAAAACAUUCAACUAAUUUCUGAAAAACAAAAAGUAAUUAUAACUUAUUUUUGCAUAUUUAAAUACUAUAAAUUAUUUUAAUCAGUAUUAAAUCAAUUAAACAAAUAUAUAUAUUUGCAUUUUCAUUAAAAACUACAUUCAUUUAAAUCUAAAUAACCUUCCAUAUUAAAUUAAAUACUACAUAUAAAUACAAUGCAAUAAAUUAACAUCAACUAAAUUUUAUUAUUAAAAUUUUGUCAAAAUAUUUAUACAAUUAUUCAAAUAAAUUAUAGAGGUUUUAAUAAAAUUUAUAAAGUAAAGAUUUGAAAUAACUAAAAAUUAGAAUAAAUAAUAUCUUAUACAAUUUAAUAUUUAAUCAAAAAAUAUAUUCAAAUAAAAUAAAGUAAAAAAGUAAAACAAAUUUAAAAUUUUAUAUUAUUAAAAGAUAUUUCCAAGCUUAAAAGUCCAUUUAAAUUUUUUAUAUGAUUGGAAUAAUAUGUAAUCGAGUUUUUCUUAGGUUCACCCCAUAGGGUGUACCUGUAGGUUCACCCCAUAGGGUGUACCUGUAGGUUCACCAACCAAUAAUAGUUUGCUACCUCAUAUUUAGUUUAAAAAAACAAAACAAUAAUAAUUUGCCAAGCCAUAUAGCAUUUUUAAAAUAAAAAGGUAAAAAUAAAUAAAAAAUAGUAGUAACUGCCACAAAAAAUGAAUUUUUUAACAUCAUUGUUAACGCCGUCUACAAAACACUAAACUCUAAAUCUUAAACACUAAACCUUAAACACUAAACCCUAAACCCUUGGGUAAAAAUCUUAACCCUUUGGUAAAUCCUAAACCUUUAGGGUUUAUAUUUUUUUUGACGGCGUUUAGGGUUUACUGUUUAGAAUUUAGAAUUUAGUGUUUAUGAUUUAGGACUUAAGAUUUACCAAGGGUUUAGGAUUUACCUAAGGCUUUAGGAUUUUGGGUUUAGUGUUUUGCUGACUGCGUUAACAGUGUUAAAAAAAAUAUUUUAGCAGCUACUACUAUUUUUUAUUUACUUUUACUUUUUUUUAAAUAAUAUGACUUGGAAAAUUCUUAUUAUUUUGUUUCUUAAAAAAAAAAACUGAAUAUGAAGUGGCAAACUAUUAUUGGUUGGUGAACUUACAGAGGGUGAAUCCAAGAAAAUCUCUAAAUAAUAUGCAUGAUCAUACGGACCCGACAAAAAAUAUAUUAUUCGAACGUUUAUUUGUUGUUUAGGAUAAAAAACUGUUAGAUAAGGGGCUUCAGUUUAGAAAUGAAUGAUUAACAAAAUCUGUUUGGUCAGAUCUAUAUUUAUAUUCAUAUAUGUUUUUGGUGGGUCAAUUAUUUUCAAAUAAAUAAAAAUGAUUUCAUAAAAACUGUAUACAAAAAUAAGAUAUAGAAUAGACAUUAAAAAGAACUUAUACCAUUGUCUAAAAGUGGUAAAACCAUGGUAUAUCAGUUAGACGUGCGCUCAGUAGUGCCCACAUUCUUCUUUUUGUCACUGAAGGAUCCAUGCUUGACCUCUUUAACAAAGUGAUCUUCAUGUAACCGUAGUCAGUUCUUAUGAUCUCUUGAACGCCCGACUAGAUCUUUCUUCCUUCCGACCAAGUAUUUUCUUUUCCAUUUGCCUCUGCUUAUGUGUGCUUUGGGUGUUUUCCGUAUAAUCAUUUAUGUGUGCCUUGUAUCUAUAGAGAAAACCGGCCAACCACUCUACUAAGUGGCAAGGUGCAAUUUGGCCAUCCGAAUGGACAUCUGUCCAUUCCUUUCUGUUUGGCCACAAACUGUCCAACCGCUCAGCACACUUGCACCAAGACUUGUCGCCCAAAAAUUCCUGAUCGACCACCAGUCCAUUAACCGUCCCUGUCCAGCCAACUGCCCUAACUACCUAAUACUCCUUUCAUCUAAGUUGAGGUUCCUGGAAUCUGGUCUAGCUAGCUGAGCCAGAGUGCUAGUUAAUCCAGCUGAUCCGGCCUAGAUGAGCUUAGACCUAAGCUCCUUCCACUAGGUCAAGCUAUCUUCAUUCCUUCCCUAACUCGUUCCAUCUUAAUUUCUCCAUUUCUCUUUAUUUCCUUGGCUAAUUAUCUAUUUCCUGGACUUAUCUCUUUACUUCAGACCAUGCAACACAUGUCUUGAUGUCCUUCGACCGAAUGUUCGUUCCCUUGUCCCAUGGUCUGUGCCGACGAUCCUAAUGUGGAUAGGAGAAUGCCAAUUUACAUUUUGAUUGAUUACUAUCCUAUUGAAUUUUCAAGUAGGACCCCAUUUCACCUUUGUUAUUAAUUCCCAAAAAGAUUUGAUUGAUUGCUUUACAUUUUUAGGCAUUCUCUUACCAGAGUGUAGAGAUGACUUGUCAAAGUUAAUACAUUUUCCCAAAGCUUUUUCUUAUGUACUAACAACUUUCAUUGUUUCCCGUACAGAAAAAAAAAGAUUAUCCUCAGCAAAAGAAGGUGCUACACCGGGGCUAGCGCAUGAGAUACUCAUUUCCGUUAUUUUUCCUUGAUUUUUCGCAUGAUUAAAAAUGCUAACUAUUGGUUCUGUGUAUAGAAUAAAUAUUAAAGGAGAACAAUGAUCUCCUUGACACAAUUCUCUUUUAAGGACAAUAAUGCAUAUGUGUUGACCAUUAGAAGAACAUGAUAAUUCACAGAUGUUAUACAUCGCAUUAUCUAAUCAAUCCAGGUUACUGAGAACCCUAUCCUGCUUGACAGCUUUGAUAAAAUCUCAUUGUAUCGGUCAUAAGGUUUACUCAUGUCUGUCUUCAUGGACGUUCUCGUGCCUCUUCCUCCCGGUUCGAUACUCUUUAUAUAUGUUUAUUCAUAUAUAUGACAUAUUUCAAUCGGUCUCUCAUAGUUUUAUAUUUGUCUCGAACAGCUAUUUCUUCUGAAAAAUCAAAAUUCUUGAUUAAUUUCCUACCUAUCUUUGUGGAAUGCUUCUUUGUGCUUAGUUUGAGCACUCACAGUAACUUUUAUACAAAAAACCAUUAUUUAAAAUAAUUUACUUUUACAGAAUCCUCCUAUAUAUUAAAUGAGAAGUCACUUAAGUGACUUUUGCCUCGGUGUCAAUCAUAGAGAGAGUUUAAGAAAAUUGUUAUAAUUUGAUUGGUUGAAGUAUAGUUUUAAUUAUUUUAAUUAGAUCUAAAAUAAAAGGUAAGUCAAGAACCAAUUAAUAUAACUUACCAAAUAGUCUAAAUGAUAUUACAAAUAAUAAUUUAUGGUAACUAACUGUCAAAAUUAUAGAAAGUAUAAUAAUAAUUGAUUAAUUAUUUUUAUAUUUAUAUACUAUAUAAUAUAAUUAAUUGAACACAAUUUCUAGAAAUUGAUAUGAUGAUUUCAUAUUCUGAUAUAAAUCAUUAUAUAUAUAUAAAAAGAAUUAUAAUAAUUAUUAAUGUCUUAUAAGUCAUUUAUAAAAAAAAAAGCAUUUAUAAAAUUAUCUAUCAUGGCUUACAAAAAUAUUUUAUCUUAAUUUUAAAUUAUGAUAUGAGUUUAUAAAACAUUUAUAAAAAAUAAAAAUUCGCCUAUAUAUUAAAAUAAAAGCCACUUAAGUGAAUUUUGCUUACAUGUCAAUCAUUUGUGCAAUCUUAAAUUUUUUUUUAUAAUUUGCUUGGUCGAUAAUUUUUAAUUUUAUUUAUUUUAUUUAAGAUUUAAAAUAAAAACAUCUAGAUCCAAUUAAUAUCACUUCCCAAAAAUCUAAAUUAUCUUAUAUAUUAAAUGAGAAAUCACUUAAGUGACUUUUGCCUAUGUGUCAAUCAUAGAGAGAGUUUAAGAAUAUUGUUAUAAUUUGAUUGGUUGAAGUAUAUUCAAUUUUUAAUUAUUUUAAUUAGAUCUAAAAUAAAAGGUAAGUCUAUAACCAAUUAAUAUAACUUACCAAAUAGUCUAAAUGAUAUUACAAAUAAUGAUUUAUGAUAACUAACUGUCAAAAUUAUGUAAAGUGUAAUAAUAUUUGAUUAAUUCUUUUUAUAUUUAUAUACCACAUAAUAUUAUUAAUUGAACACAAUUUCUAGAAAUCGAUAUAAUGAUUUCAUAUUCUUAUGUAAACAUUAUAUUUAUAUAAAAAGAAUUAUAAUAACUAUUAAUGUCUUAUAAUGUCCAUAUAUGUCUUAUAAGUCAUUUAUAAGAACAAUAAAGCAUUUAUAAAAUUAUCUAUCAUGGCUUACAAAAUUAUUUUAUCUUAAUUUUAAAUUAUUAUAUGAGUUUAUAAAACAUUUAUAAAAAAUAAAAAUUCUCCUAUAUAUUAAAGUAGAAGCCACUUAAGUGAAUUUUUCUUACAUGUCGAUCAUUUGUACAAUCCUAAGAUUUUUUUUUUUAUAAUUUGCUUGGUCGAUUAUUUUUAAUUUUAUUUAUUUUAUUUUAGAUUUAAAAUAACAAAAUCUAGAUCCAAUUACUAUCACUUGCCAAAAAUCUAAAUUAUAUUACAAAUACUGAUUUAUGGUAACUAAUUGUUGAAAUUAUAUAAAGAAUAUUAACGCUUGAUUAAUUCUUUUUUAUAUUUAUAAACUACAUAAUAUAAUGAAUGGAACUUUUUUAAACUUUUUAUUAUUUUAAUUAUAUCUAAAAUAAAAGAGAAGACUAAAACUAAUUACUAUCACUUGCCAAAUAAUCCAAAUGAUAUUAAAAACAUUAAGUAAUGGUAGCUAAUUUUCAAAAAUAUAGAAAGUGUAAUAGUGUUUGAUCAAUUGUUUUUAUAUUUAAACACUACAUAAAAUAAUGAAUAUAAAACAAUUUAUAGAAAUCGAUAUAACGAUUUCAUAUUCAUAUAGAAAUAUAGGCGUAUCUAUAAUAAUUACUAAUCUCUUAUAAUGUCCAUAUAUGCUUUAUAAAUAAUUAGGCUGUUAAAAUUGGAAGGAUUAUAUUAAAGGAUCAUGUGAAAAUUUUGAUUAAAAAUGUUUUGCAUUUAAGUCAAAUAAUAUAGUGAAUAAGUUAAUGUUAUGACUGAAAAGAAUUCUAAGAUAGAUUUUUGUUUCGUUGAUUGUAUGUUUUGUAUUACUAUUUAGAGAGAGAAAUAAAUAUUUGGCAAAAUUGUGUAAACAAUUAGGAAAACAUUAGCAAAUAUUUAAUAAAAAGGUUGAAAUGAUAACGAAAAAAUAAGAAGACGUCGAAGAAGAUGCAUAAUAUAUGUUGGAAAAGUUAAUGUGAUAAUUACAUAUAUAAUUUUACAAAUAUUUGAUAUUACUAAAUAUUCAUUAGUUAUUUUUACAUCAAAUUUAUAGAAACUUUGCGAUUAUUUUCAAACUAAUUGAGGUUAAAAAUUAUAUUUUAAAUUUUUCUAAUUUUUAUUUAAAAUUUAUGAUAUUAUAUACAUAAUAUAUAUUUUCUUACAAUAUUAAUAUCCGUGAAUUCGCGGGCAACCACCUAGUUUAAACUAAAGCAAAACAAAAUUGGCAAUAUGGCUUUUUAGGACAAAUAUGUUAUGGAAUAAUAUCAAAUUUCAUGUAUAGUAAUUUAUUUUGCAAAAUUCUGGAACAUCACAGUAGCAAUUAGAGAACACAAUGUCCAAUACAUGAAAAUCGUUAAUGUGAAGGAAUAAGAUGAGAAUGAUGGUCAUGGCGACUGCGGAUACACUCUUUGAAACAAUUGUCUAAGCACGUAAUGCUUGGUGGGAAUGGACCUAAACAUAUGCCUUGGCAUAUUUUCUUGCAUUCUUGUACUGUCUUCGCUUCACCUUCCAUUGUCAACAUCGUCAUCACAAUCACCAUGAUCAUUAUCAUCAGCGUUCUUCUAUCCAUUUUCUUGGUCUUAACUGACGAAAUAAUAUAACGAAAUGUUAGUAAUGAUAAUUUUUUAAAUUCCUUGUUGCCUCUUUAGUACUAUUUAUAGGUUCAACUACUCUAUCAUUUACAACUCGAUUUUUUUUUUACACUUACAUGGAAGCUCACUUUUUCAGAUCCGCAUUAUUUGAAUUUGUUUAAUGUUUCGUUUGACUCUGCUAUUAAAUUUCCUUGUUUCUUCGAUAGUUUAUAUGCAUAUAUACCCCUAUAUUGACCUGAAACCAAUGCAUCCAGUUAUUCUUAAAAAUGUUGACCAGAAACAAAGGCUAGACCAAAAUAUUACACCAGCAAAAUUUUCCAGUUUAGUUUCAAAUUUGUUGACCACUGAGUUAUUCCCUUUUCAAAAUCAUUUAAAAUCAAAUAACAAUUAUAGUGGGGAAAAUCAUAUAUAUCUUAGAGGGAAUUAUAGAUUUACGACAAUUUUGAUACAACUUUCAAAUUUAUCUUUAGUAUUCACUAUUUUCAUAAAUACCUUAAGUUUGUGAUGAAAAAAAGAAUAAACCGACCAAUCUAAAUCAUUUACAAAUGUUUAAGAAUUAUUUUGAGAAGUUUAUAAACUCAACUCCACCCGCUAAAUACUGCGAAACCCCAAAACCCAAUUGUUAAAGUAUUUUGAUUGAGUGUAUUUUUGAAAUUAGUAUUUAACUUUUGAUAUUUCAAGCAAUUUCUGUAUGUUUUAUUAGUUACAAUAUAAUUUUUAAUUUUGAAAGUUGUUAAUUAACAUGAUUGUGACAUAUGUCAAUAAAAAGCUAUAAAUGUGACAUGGGCUUACGGAUUUCUAAUAAAUAUAUAAAACAGAAUAGUAUUUUUCCUUCAUUAGGCCAAAAAAGUCAUUAUAAAUAUAAAACUAUGUGGCAUUAACCUUUUUUAAAAAAAAAUUCCUAAACCGAAAAGAAUUAGACCAAAUAUUUUCCUUACAAAUGUGUAAUUAUUUAAAUGUACUAUUACUUUAAAAACUAUCAAACUGAAAAGAAUUACAAAACAAGGACAAUCCAAAACCAAAGUUUAAACAUGGUUGGUUUAUAUCUGCCAAGUCCAUUUUUCUCUCACAGAAAAUUACAUCUCACUAUCAAAAAUCAUUAUAGCUACAUGAUUCAGAUUUUUAAAGUACGUACAAAAACCUAUGACAUUUAUUAGGGUAAAUAUGUGUAGGCUCUUUGUUGGUAAUACAGAAACGAGAAGUAAAAAAUAACAAGCAAGAACAAUGAUUGAGAAUAUUAUUUUAUUGAUAUUUAGAGUCGAAACUAUAACAGUUUGGAUUAUGAACCUUAAUUCUAGUCGCCUAACUUUACAGUUUAACACUUGGAUCUCUUUUUCUAGGGUUUGGGCUCCACUUUUCUAUGUUGUUCAUAGUCGAAAGUUAGGUUAAGUCAUUCUAUUUCUUGAAAUAUGGAAGAACACCCCUUUGGUAAAAAUAUUUCAUUUUACCUGGAGGUAGGAAUUGACCCAAGUUUGGGGUAUGGAUUUAUCCAGGCAAAAAACCGGGGGGGGGGGGGGGGGGGGUGUCCUGCUUGGAGGUACGAGUAAUAACUUAUGCACUUUAGUUUACCAGAAUGAUUCAUUCUCAGCAGGUCUGUCAUGUCCCCGGUCCUAGAUAGGAUUGUCGGGAUAGACCAUGGUUCGAGGAACCGUACCAGCCGAUCAUGAGAUCAUAAGGGAAGCGUAUCAUGAUCUAUCAAAGAAGGUUAAGUGCUCUAAGAGACUAAGAUUUAACCGAAUAAGGAGGAAACGAGGAUAAGUAAGCUGGACGAGUUGGAAGGCAGCUGGGCGAUGCAGACAUGAAGCUCGGUCAGAUGGACGAAGCUCGAUCAAGGUCAGUCUAGCUGUUCCAAGUUGGGUCAGCUCAACCAGCUGGAAUACUAUCUCACUGAGCUGGGUCAGCUGGGAGCCAGCAACUCAGCUUGAUGGAGUGUUUGGGUCUGGGGCAGUUGGACCGGUUCCGGGUCAGUGAUGGGUCGAUUGGCCAGACAGGUUGUUCAUGGAACGGAGGGGUCUUGGGCUAGGCCGUGGGCUAAGCCACAAGGGCUUGGAAAACUGGUUGGGCCCCAGAUCGACCCAAUAGGGGGCGGUUAUAGGCGAUGGGGUGGGAAUGGUUCGGGUUGCAACCAUUCGGCCAAGUCAUGUUCGUCCAUCAAUUUGUGCAUGUUCUCCCAUCAAGUCAUGCAUGUUCGCCCAAGGCAAUGGCAGACCUUGACUCCUAUAAAUAUAGAGCCUCUCUCUCAAUUUAUAUCAUCAGUUUCCAGAGUAAAAACUCAGAGAAAUAUCGUGAGAGAGAAAGAAAGAAAGAAAGAUAGUCCGGUGAUAUACCAUGGAUUUUACCCACUUUUAGCCAUGGUAUAUAAGUGUUUUUAAAUACACUAUAGUUGUUUUGGAGUCUUUUUAAUAUGUUUUCAGGUUUAAGUACUUUUUGGAAGAAAGUGGUGAUUUAGGGUCUUUUGGAGCCUUGUGAGUGCAGAACUCCACAUACUUGUCAGAUAUUUAGAUAUGGAUGGAAACCUUCCCACGGUGAGAUUGAGCCUAUCGUUUUACCAAAGAUAGAGCUUUGAGUUAGAUUUCCAAUGCCACUGGUUUGAGGUCAAUCCAACGGUUAGAUCAGAAGGUAUGCCUGUUUUACUGAAGAGUAGUCAGUCUGUCUCGCGAGAGAAACCUGUCGAGGAGAUGAAGGAACGUCGAUCGACGGUGCACCCUUGGUGUCGAUCGACGGUGAUUCCAGAAUGCGGGCCGAGUAUAUUUCAAGAUUGACUUAAGCCCAGAAGCAACCACAAAUUACCAAAAUACCCUUGGACUACCUAAAACCUAUUUAUGUAUUUUCUAAGCCAUUCUUAACGGCUAAGCUUUAUUCAUUGUUCUUAGUUAGGAGAGAAGGGAGGAACUCCUUCAGAGUCCUCCUGGAACUCCAUUGGUUCUUAUAUAUAUUGCUUUCUAUACUAUGCCUAUUCUUUCUAUGAUUUAUGUGACAACUAUCAUGCUUGAAUAGAUUCACCUGUUAGGUUUAGGUUCACAUAUCAUGAGGGAUUAGCCCAAAAUAUUGAUUGCUAAGUUGUUACGAUAUCCAUGGAUUGAACUGAACUUACUGCUUGUGUUCUAGAGUAGCUAACUAGAAUCAUGUCGUUAGGAUAAUUAGGUGCAAGCGAGAGCAUGGUCUAUUGCCUGAACCAUUCAUAUUGUGCUAGGAUUGCUAGAGAAAGAUGAGAGUUGAUCUAGGAACCUAGUGAACAUAGUUCAAACCUGGUCGCUAAAGCUUUCUAGAAGGAUCAGUGAUCGACAACUCAUUAGAUGUAUCGAUCGACAAUCUGAAAGGUGUAUCGAUUGACAUUCCUAUAGAAUCGGCGAUCGACACUUUCUCAAGAUCAACAUGCGAGAGUUGAUAGAUUAUUCCUUAGUUUGACUUCUAUAAUAUUCAACCUUAGUCUCUAUACUACUAUAAUCCUGAUUGCCUGAAUAGAAACCCUAAGUCUAGCAACCAUCCUUCCAUCAAACAACUCAAUCAAUCAAUCGAGCAAUUACUUUGCUCACACCACUGCUAUUUAAUUACAUUUAAAACUAUUCGACUAGCUUAAUCAAUAACUAUUUAGAUCUAGUGUGUACCCUAGCUCCCUGUGAAUUCGAUCCCUAAGUGCUACAACUAGACCUAUUAUUUUAGAGAGUUCAAUCACUCUUUAGGGUAAUUUGAGUGAUAUCAUCCAGCCAAGAAAAAGGCCGAUCAUGUGGUGGUUACUUUCGGCUAGUCCGAUCGUUUGAGAAAGAAGGAACCGACAAUAGAUGGAAGAAACCGGAAAGGAGAAGCAAGUGGAAACCCAUGAGUGUGGCUCCAAGGUACAUGAUGGACCGGCGAUCCAUCAGACUAAGCCGGUGGCCCCAAUGGUCGGGUCUUUGGUCUGAUCGGUUCGUAGGUUACAUCCGCUCUUCCUUAUUCUAUUCUAUACAUUCUUAUUCUCUUCUUUUCUUGAUAUCACGAAGGGGUGUGAUGGUUAGGCCGAAGGGUUGUGUCCCUGGAACGAGUCCAUUCGCAUCCAAGCCACGAUCCUAGGUCAUCGGCUGGAUCCAUGAUAGACCAUGGAUUUGACUCAUUUUCGUCCAUGGUUUAUAGGUGUUUUUACUAUCUAUUAUUAUAUUAUAGAACCUAUUUAUUAUAUUUAUAAGAUCAGGAGUGAUUUGGAGAUAAAUGAUGAUUUUGGAGCAUUUUUGAGAUAUUUGGAGCAAGCACCCGAGAUGACCAUCGAGCUCGACCAUCGGUCAAUAUUGGAGGAGGAAUAUCGAUCGAUGUUCACACUUGAACAUCGAUCGACAGCGAAGCGCGCAGAAAGCCCGUUUGGUCACAGCUGACUUGAAGCCAAGUCUUCACCAAUUUACAAGAUUACCCCUGACGAGUUUUAACCUAACUAUAUAAGCUUUACCACCAUGUUAGAGGCAAAGUGUGCUUUUCUGUGUUUUUAGUUGUAUUACUUUCAGCAAAGGGUGGUUUUAGGAUUGUGAUGGAUUGGAGAGAAGAUCCAAAGUUAUAAUUUGUGAUUGGAACUCCAUUAAUUUUUAUUUUACUAUUCUAUGAAGUUUUCUUACCUAAUUGCUUUCAUGAAUUGUUUGGCCUUGUCUGAGUAGUUCCACUGUUAGAUUUAGGGUUUAAAUAGGUUAUGAGGGAUUAGCCCCAAUUAUAGAUUGCUGAGUUGUGGUAAUUGUCAUUAGGAUUGUUCAUUAAUGCAUGUUUCUAAAUUAGCUACCUAGAACUUGCCAUAGGAUUGAUAGAUAAAAGCGAGAGUUUCAUUCUCAUCCUGAAAACAUUCUAACUGAGCUAAGUUUCUUGCUAAGAGUAAGGCGAUAGCUGAUCUAGUGAGCUUAGUAAGCUUUAUUCAACCCGCACAUAGAGCUUAACUAGAAGCGCGUCGAUCUAUAUUCAUAUUGGAUAAUUGAUCGAGAGAGCGAAAGGUGUAUCAAUCGAUACCCCUAUAGGAUUAUCGAUCGACACUGCUAUUGAUCGAACACAUUUGUUUGGGUCAUUAGAUCUAGUUAAUAGACGAGUUCAAACAUGCCAUAGCUGAUGGACUUGUUGAAAUGACAGCUGAGCUUUACAUUAUCAUACAUGCAACUCAUUAGACAUCUGUAGGAUUAUAAUUCUAAGUUUCCUGAAUAGAAACCCUAAGUCUAGCUAUUUCCUUUUAAGCACGAAAACCUCAACCAAUCAAUCGAGCGAUUACUUGCUCAAGCAAAACUGCAAAUUUACAUUUUAAAUCUUAAAAACUUCCUACUUAACAAAUAAUAUUAGAUCCAUUAGGUUCCCUAGCUCCCUGUGAAUUCGAUCCCUAAGUACUACAACUCGACCUCUUAUUUGAGAGAGUAUAAAUAACUCCUUUGGGUAAUUUGAGUGAUAUCAAUCCACGGAUGCAUCUGACCAGACCAAUGGGUCGGUUACUGAACGGUUGGAACAACCAAAGAGUACGAGUUGCCAAGAGUCAUGAGUUGCUAUGAGACACAAGUGAAUCAAAGGGUACGAGUCUCCAAAGAUUGGAGUUCCAAACGGUGUCAUUGGAUCAAGGCUUUGGCCAAUCCACUUGGGAACAGUUUGUGGCUGUAAGCCGGAUGGACGUUUGGUUCGUCUAACCGGAGUAUAGUGUUGCAAGGUCCGAUCGGUUAGAAGGCAGUCAGAUGGGCUUGGGACUUACUCGGUUGUAUAGAUCCAGGCCUUGGGCCGGAUCAGGUAAGAAGGUCCAUGAGCCUUUCGGACGGACUUAUGGAAUGGCCGACUAAACCUAGACCUUAACCGAAUGGUUGGAAGAGACUAUGGGUGAUCCGGCUAUGGUUGGAUCGAGAUCGUUUGGGCUUGGCUUGGUCUUGGUCUUGGUCUGAGUUUGGCCGUUUGUUCUAUGAUAGUCUUGAUAGAGGUUUAUGAUAUAGGACCUGGAACCAAACCUUGCAUUGCUAGAAUCGAUUGGUAGGAUAUAAGAUUGUACUUAAUGUAAUGGUUUGUGGUUUCAGGAACUGAGGCUGAUCGUGGUAAAGCCAAGGAGCCUUGAAAACUCUAUCAACGAGAGGCUGUGUGGUGUGUGGGUAGAUCAUGUUAGGAAUAAACUUAUAAUAGCUUAUAGAACACAUUGUAACUUUUGUAUUGGAUCUCAUCUUGAUUAAUAAUACAUGUUGGGGUCACACUCGGUCACGACGGAAUCCAUAUCGGAAAGUUCUCAAAAAAAUGUCUCACUUUGAAAAAGAAGAAUAAAAUUCAAAAGAAGAGAAAAGCGGGAAAACCUAAGUCGAGUUUCGUAUCAACUCUGAAAAGGAUUCACACAAUAAGUCUUCGAGAAAGGUUACUUCAGGCCCCGGACAAAUGGAUCCCAAACAACGAAACAACCAUAAAGCUUUAUGGACCGAACGCACCGUCCAACUCACCGAAAAGGCGAGUUGGAUCGAACAGGUUGUCCAACUAGCCCGUUUGGCCAGUUAGACCGAGCAGGACGUCCAACUCGCCCGUUCUGCGAGUUGGAUCGAGCAAGUCGUCCAACUCGCCCGUUCGGCGAGUUGGAGCAACUAGCCUGCCUUCAUCCCGUCCUCGUAGCUCCCUACUUCGAGAUCGGAUCGAACCUGCUCUUGUUUCAUCUCGAUCGGAGUCACCAUUGGAACUUUACGAUUUAAAAACCAGAAGAACUCGUUUUCUCGUAUGAAGUUUGGAUUGAUCCUAUAAAACGGCAACGGCUAACUAAACACAUCGAACUGCCUCCACUAUACGGGAAAUUCGAACCUUCUUUGGAAUCAAUGCCUUUUCGGAAGCGCUAUAUCGAUAAAUCGUAAAAACGCUUAAGUUGGAAAACGGCCCGAAAGGGUCCAAAACGCAGCUAGAAGUCCCACUCACGAUUUUACACGAAAUCGCCCAAACGUUAUGACGGUUUAUCUUUUAAUUUGCAGGAGAAGAUAAAUGUCAAGUUCGGAGGAUAAAUGUGAAGUUUCCAAAGAUAAACACGAAGAUUGAAAGAAAAUGGAAUAUUUCAGCGAAGCGAUAAAAUCAACCGAGGGCAGAAAUGGAAAGAGAAAACCGCCUCUAGGAGGAGUAUAUAAAGACAUCGAGGUUGAAGAUGCAAAGGACAAUUCUUUUUACUCUGAGAACUUUCUGCACUUAGAAACUUUAGGCAUUAUUCUCGACAUGUUCUGUUUCUAUGACUGGCACUCGAUUUCUAGACGAACCCGCAAAGGCAGUUCGAUAUCUUGUACUACUCUUUCAAUCGAACUACGUUCGGGUUGAUCCUUGAAAGGGGUACGUAGGCAGCCUUUCGUAGGGUUCAGUUCGAAAUCAAUCAAACCUUUUUCGUAUCUUUUUCGACUUCUGUUAUCGAGCUGCAACUCAACUAGGUUUUAGGUUUUAGGUUGCUAGAACUAGGUAAUUCGCUGACAGCUCUCGUGGCCGAAGCUUUUAUAACCUAUUGUAAUGAUCGCAACGCUCUUACGCGGAUUCGGAGGAAGAUCUACCUUUUCUAUAAAUUUGUUUUGUUAUCUUUUCAUAUUUUUCGCGUUUAUUUGGUUACUUGUCGUUGGCUCUCGCAGAGAAUCUGAGACCUCAGUGAAAGUUAGGGUUUCUUGACUUUCCUCCGAUUACGGAAAUCGACGGUGCAAAUUUCGGUUCCUACAAUACAAAGCAAUUUACCUUGUGUUUCUGUAUACUAUCUGGUCGCUUUUUUAAGAACCUCAUAUCUGAAUAUGAAUUAGUAAAUAAUAUACUUUAAAAUGAAUCUAACAAGCAAUAAUGUCUGGAAGUAAGGCCGCGGGUCCAGUUGGGUCGGAAGGCCAGGAACGGGUCUUACAAGGUCUACCAUAAGCACCACAUCACUUCCUUAGUGCCUUUUUGGGUUGUUCUGGCCUGGACCACAGUCCACAUAUGAAGCCAGUAGUAGAUAUUUACAUUUGAAUAGUCGAGGGAUGAUUGUUAUCCCAUAAGCGAUUUUAGGCUUGGAGCCUAAUGAGAUCGGGUAAUCUCCAAGGAUUCGUGAUCAUGUACUUGCAUUUUAGUGAAUAAUGAGAUCCAUUUCUUGGCGCGAGGCAUUGAUGGCAUACAAACCUAUAGGAAAGUAGCCUUAUGAUAGCCUAAUUUUAAUGCCGCGUAGCCGGAUCAGAUAGAGGGAUUGUCGAUGUACUGAAAUGGGCAAUCUAUUUCCCUGUUUUAGUCGACGGAUCCUGGCCUAGGCCAUGACUUAAGUAGUAGAAUGCUGCAAUGAUAAUACUUAUUUUUCCAAGUGAAAUAUACUGAAUAGGUCUGUCAGAGUCUGCUGUAGGUUUUUUCUUUGCUAGGAAGCAGGGAUCUCUAGUCCAGAUCCAGAGGUAGGACUCGACGAGAGGAGUUACCUUGUUGGAGGAUCCUAGUUGUAACGCUUGAGAGCCAUGGAGAUUUUCUUAGAUAAAAUCCAUUCCUUUAUUUUAUUUGAAUAUGUUGGGGAUUUCAUUUCCUUCUCUUGGAGAGAGCAAGGUUUGGAAAUCAAAUCUUCACUCAUUGCUUCAGAUUUAUUUUAUUUUCCUUGGCGGUUUCCCAGAGAAAAGAGAUCUGGAAGUUGUGGGUAACAUCUUCGUCUUCUCCUUUCGUUUCUCUUUCUACUGUUGCUGCUAUUCGUCUUUCUUCGUUUGAUCUAAGAUCACUCUCAGGUUCCCCCUUUGGUUAUUUUAUGGGGUUUAGGGAUUGAUUAGCUUCCUCCGCACCUAAACACUUAUUUUUCCGUUGGGGUAUGCGUUUGAUACAAAACCGUUCCAUAAUUACUUAUAUUUAGUGGAAUGAAUGGUUGGGAAUACCAACUUAGGAUGUAUAUUGUUUUGCGAAAUUGUUUAAACUAUCACAUUCUUAAUACUACUUUUUAUGUUUAUCUUAACCACAUUUAUCCUUACUUUUAACAAGGUAAAUAGAUAAUUAUAACUCUAAGGUUAACUAAUCUAUAUUUAGGGUUGAGAGUUGAGAGAAGAGGUUUUUGGAAGGUGGGAUUUAGGAUUUUAAUAGUUACUAGAUUUUGACCCGCGCUUUGAAAGCGCAUGAUUAUUUUUGUUGACAAAAUUAUUAAUCCGUUUGUUUGUUCACUAAUAUGAUUAGGUAUGCUUUCAAUUUUCAGUUUGAUUCCAGAUUUUUAUAUUUUUUGAUUCCGGUUCAGUUGUAGUGUUCGGUUUAAGAAAUAUAGAAAUUGUUCCGUUAUUUAUGAAUCUUAAUAUUUGUUUUCAGAGGUAAAACAUGAAAUCUGGGGUUAUUGGGUGUCCCGAAAAAAUCGAUGGUGAUUUGAAGAGCAAAUAAGCCUCCACGAGUUUCAAAUUUGAUACUGCUUGCAAGGUAAGUAAGUUCAACAUGGAUACCAAAAUGCGUCAAUUUAGUUACGUCUUAUCCUAGUCAAACGUAUCAAUAGUUUGCGAUUGUAUUCAUGCAUAUAUACUCUGAAAUGAGUCAAAUGACUGGAAAUAUUAUGUUGGAUGUAUUAUUUUUGAUAUACAUUAAAUUUUCAUUUUAUCUGUAUAGUUGUGAUUCCUAUGGGUGGUGCUGCUUCUCCUAUCAAUACUAUUAAAACAGAAGUACAUUUUGUACUUAGCCCAUAUUUUCUUCAAUAAUUACCACUUUAUGCAACUAGCAUUAAACACAACGUUUUUGCUUCUUUUUUUUUCUAAACCGACACGUUUACCUUAUUAUUUAACCGUACAAUUACAAGAAUCUUAUUUAGUUUCAAAUCUUUCGGAUCACCUAUAAGAUCUAAUCAUUAAAGACCUAUAUCCAUAUUCUGCGGUUCAGUUUUAACAAUACCAAGCGGUUGCGUACAGAAUAUAUUCGGGUUGAUACGAUUUUGUUUUAAAUGGAAUAUUAAGAUAUACCAUUCUGGUUCUAAUCUCGCCAUAUAUAGCCUCUUAACCUAGAUUCUAUGAUCCAUAUAUAUCUACUCUGAAUUUACCCUGUACACAUUCACAAUUCAGAGAAAAAAUGUAACGCAAAAAGCCUGUCUUUUCUUAACGAUGUCAAACCUUUUAAGAACAGUUGGGGAGUUUGUGUGAAAUUAAUUCAUUCAUGGAAGCAAAAUACCAGCUAGGCAGGAGAAACUCUCAAAGUGCAUCCUUGCAAGCAAAACUGUAAGAUAAAAGUUCAAGUCAUAUAUUGUUAGUCCAAAAACAAUUUAUAAUCGUGUUUCAUAAUCUGUCUGGACUAUAUCACAGUUUUAUUAGGUUGAGCUUUAUUAAUAUUAGAUUUUUUUUCUCGUAGGUUGUAACAAUUCAUGCCAGUUGCAAAAUAACUCUAAUGUAUCGUACGUGUUCAUCGCAGUCUACCGGUUGGAUAAUGGAGGUUUAUAGAGAAAAUUUCCAUUUCACAGGAUUCCCGUAUAGACCAACAAACCAUUAAUCAGGUUACAGCCACAAGCAGCACACUACAAGAAAACGUAGCAGUAACAACGGCAUUUUACGAGGAAAUAAUUUCCUCGUAAAUUUACAUGAGCUUUACAACGCAAUUACGACGCGACAUGACUUCGUCGUAAACUCGAUGGUAAUUUACGACGAAAUGUAUUCGUCGUAAAGUUAAUGUAAGUUUACGACGAAAGUACGUGGAAUGCAAAAUAGUUGUAAACGUUACAUCGACAUUACAACGAAUCAUGUUACCGUUACAUAAAGGUGAAAACGUGUAUUGAAAGUGCUUUAACUUACCUAAGUUCGUUGUAAACGCGUUGUAAAUUUUCCAUGUAAAAUCCAUGUAAAACUUACCAUAUUUCUCUAUAUAUAUGUCAUUUCCCACAACUCUCUUCCUCACAACACACAACUCUCUUCCUCACAACACACAACUCUCUUCUUCUCGAACCACCAAUUACUAUUUCGAAGAUAACGAUAACGAACAUGAGUCAUUCGUCUGUCUGCCAAUUCAGUAGAGCGAUAAGGAGAAAAUGGAGGGAAGUGAAGUUGGUUUAUACUUGAGUGAAACCUCCGACCAUCGUCAAAAGUUCCUCUCAAGUACAAACCAGCUGCACUUCCGUCCACUUUCUCCUUGUCGUUCCACUGAAUUGGCAGACAGACGAACGACACAGGUUCCUUAUCGUUGUUUUAGAAAUAGUAAUUGGUGGGGUAACAACGCAAUUACGACGAAACCAACGAAACCAAAUUUCGUCGUAAACGCCAUGUAAUAUUACGACGUAAGUACGUCGAAAUUGAAAUUUUACAUCGUUAUUACAACGAAUCAUGUUACCGUUAUAUUUAGGUGAAAAACUUAUCGAGUUUCGUUGUAAAGUCGUUGUAAAAAAUCUAUGUAAAAUCCAUGUAAACUUUCCCUUGUAAAAUCGUUGUUAUAUUUCAACUACCCAACUCGAAAAUUUCUCUAUAUAUAUGUCAUUUCCCACAACUCUCUUCCUCACAACACACAACUCUCUUCCUCACAACACACAAACGGAAAAAAAAAAAAUUUAAAAAAAAA